rnacentral:rRNA from 1 species
UCGCGGCCUAUCAGCUUGUUGGUGAGGUAAUGGCUCACCAAGGCGACGACGGGUAGCCGGCCUGAGAGGGUGACCGGCCACACUGGGACUGAGACACGGCCCAGACUCCUACGGGAGGCAGCAGUGGGGAAUAUUGCACAAUGGGCGAAAGCCUGAUGCAGCGACGCCGCGUGAGGGAUGACGGCCUUCGGGUUGUAAACCUCUUUCAGUAGGGAAGAAGCGAAAGUGACGGUACCUGCAGAAGAAGCACCGGCUAACUACGUGCCAGCAGCCGCGGUAAUACGUAGGGUGCGAGCGUUAUCCGGAAUUAUUGGGCGUAAAGAGCUCGUAGGCGGUUUGUCGCGUCUGUCGUGAAAGUCCGGGGCUUAACCCCGGAUCUGCGGUGGGUACGGGCAGACUAGAGUGCAGUAGGGGAGACUGGAAUUCCUGGUGUAGCGGUGGAAUGCGCAGAUAUCAGGAGGAACACCGGUGGCGAAGGCGGGUCUCUGGGCCGUAACUGACGCUGAGGAGCGAAAGCGUGGGGAGCGAACAGGAUUAGAUACCCUGGUAGCCCACGCCGUAAACGUUGGGUGCUAGGUGUCGGGGACCUUCCACGUCCUCGGUGCCGCAGCUAACGCAUUAAGCGCCCCGCCUGGGGAGUACGG